rnacentral:rRNA from 1 species
ACGGGAGGCAGCAGUGGGGAAUAUUGCGCAAUGGGGGCAACCCUGACGCAGCCAUGCCGCGUGAAUGAAGAAGGCCUUCGGGUUGUAAAGUUCUUUCGGUAGCGAGGAAGGCACUUAGUUUAAUAGACUAGGUGAUUGACGUUAACUACAGAAGAAGCACCGGCUAACUCCGUGCCAGCAGCCGCGGUAAUACGGAGGGUGCGAGCGUUAAUCGGAAUAACUGGGCGUAAAGGGCACGCAGGCGGUGACUUAAGUGAGGUGUGAAAGCCCCGGGCUUAACCUGGGAAUUGCAUUUCAUACUGGGUCGCUAGAGUACUUUAGGGAGGGGUAGAAUUCCACGUGUAGCGGUGAAAUGCGUAGAGAUGUGGAGGAAUACCGAAGGCGAAGGCAGCCCCUUGGGAAUGUACUGACGCUCAUGUGCGAAAGCGUGGGGAGCAAACAGGAUUAGAUACCCUGGUA